UGUCAAGUCCUGGUUUUCCAGAUGAUUGC
rnacentral:piRNA from 1 species